rnacentral:tRNA from 1 species
UGGGGCAUGGUGUAGUGGAGAGCAUAUUGGUUUGCGAGACCUUUGACCCGGGUUCGAAUCCCGGUGCCCCAG